rnacentral:tRNA from 1 species
UGGGGUAUCGCCAAGCGGUAAGGCAACGGGUUUUGAUNCCGUCAUGCGGAGGUUCGAAUCCUCCUACCCCAGCCA